rnacentral:lncRNA from 1 species
UUUCUGUAGCUGGAAUAUGGCUCCAUCCGCCUGGAUCUGGAGUCCAGAUUCCACUCUGUAGAGAAUACAUCCCACCAGAUGACUGAGAUCUUGGAAGAGCAGAAGACAGAUGAAGGUGUAUUCAACAUGCCUCCGAGUCCCGACCUGGAGGUGGAAGCUCAUUCUUCAGAGCAGGCGUCCAAAGAGCUGCCGGGGCCUCUGAAGAAAAGACGUGGCGAGCGCAAGAAGGAGAAGCAAGACAGCCAAGAGAACGCUGGGGCCGCCGAUGUUCCCGAACAAAAAGUCAACCUCAGGGUCCGAAGGACGGUGGAGGAGCAGACCCUCACGGUUCGUGGCCCUGGGGCUCUGGGACUGCGGGAACCCCUCGUGGGACACCAUCCGAACAAUGGGAAGCAAGAAUCUGACACGGUCAAUCUGGAUUUCACAUCCACCAGUGCUCAAAAGGGAGAAAAAGGCUCUCCUGGAAGCCAAGGCAGCAAAGGAGAAAAGGUACUUUUCAACCUAUUUGCACCUGUGCUGGUUGAAAAAAAGGACGUUCCCUCUGAAUCCCAGCAAAUCUUGGGAAAGUUACUUUUUUGGACUAGAACCCCAGAUUACAGAGGACAUGCUGGCUGGAUGUUUUCCAGAAGUUUUUGUCAUCCAAAAAA